GCCCGAGUAGUUCAGUGGAUAGAAUGCGUCCCUCCUAAGGACGAGGUCGUAGGUUCAAAUCCUACCUCGGGCG
rnacentral:tRNA from 1 species